UAUGCCCUGACUGGGAAUCGAACUGUGACCUCCUGGUUCAUAGAUCAAUGCUCAACCACUGAGUCACGUCGUCCUGGCACAAGUGCCCAUUUGUUUUAUACAAGAUUCACACACAGUUUCUACACUACAGCAAUAAUACUAGUGAAAACAGAUUGUACACCCCCAUUCUUUUUAUUAUGUAGGUAUAUCUCACUAGGGAUGCCUAGUCACAUUGCUGUGUUUUAAAGUCACUUGAGUGUAUAGGAUUAUGUGUUUCAUUUUGUCUUUUAGGAACUUUUAAAGUAGUUUUGCUUUAUAAUUAUGAGAAAUAUUUAUAUAGUUCAAAGUUAAAUGUAGAGGGAAAAACAUAAUAUUCACAGAAAUCUGACUUCUACCUCCUAUUCAUCCUAUUUGCCCCUUCUCUCACAGGAAGCUUUUUAAUAGUUUAUUUUAAAAUUUAUUUUAAACAUAAGCAUGUAGUUUUAAAACCCGUCCUUAGAUAAGCAGAAGAGUAGUAUAUACAGUCUUCACCAUCUUGCUUUUUUCACUGUAUAAAUAUGUAGUUCCAUAAUGUAUAGAGACAGCCCUCAUUUCACAGCAUCUGGGCUCCUACACUACAGUUUAUCCCACCUUUUCCGGAUUAAUGGACAUUUGUAUUACUUCUACUUUUGUGUUAUUGCAAAUGGUGCUGCAAUAAAUAACUUUGUGCUGUUUGCGUUUUCACCAGCAUAGCAUUGGGAGAUUCCUAGAAGUGGGGUUGUUGGGUCAAAAGUUUUUUGGAGGCUGUUUUCCCUGGUUUGUUCUUUCAGGAUCACUGUUAAAUAAACUGAAGGGGAUCUAAAGAAAAAGCAGGAAGACCAGUUAGGAAGCUUUUGAAGGAA